rnacentral:rRNA from 1 species
UUAAAUUGAAGAGUUUGAUCAUGGCUCAGAUUGAACGCUGGCGGCAGGCCUAACACAUGCAAGUCGAACGGUAACAGAAAGCAGCUUGCUGCUUUGCUGACGAGUGGCGGACGGGUGAGUAAUGUCUGGGAAACUGCCUGAUGGAGGGGAUAACUACUGGAAACGGUAGCUAAUACCGCAUAACGUCGCAAGACCAAAGAGGGGGACCUUCGGGCCUCUUGCCAUCGGAUGUGCCCAGAUGGGAUUAGCUAGUAGGUGGGGUAACGGCUCACCUAGGCGACGAUCCCUAGCUGGUCUGAGAGGAUGACCAGCCACACUGGAACUGAGACACGGUCCAGACUCCUACGGGAGGCAGCAGUGGGGAAUAUUGCACAAUGGGCGCAAGCCUGAUGCAGCCAUGCCGCGUGUAUGAAGAAGGCCUUCGGGUUGUAAAGUACUUUCAGCGGGGAGGAAGGGAGUAAAGUUAAUACCUUUGCUCAUUGACGUUACCCGCAGAAGAAGCACCGGCUAACUCCGUGCCAGCAGCCGCGGUAAUACGGAGGGUGCAAGCGUUAAUCGGAAUUACUGGGCGUAAAGCGCACGCAGGCGGUUUGUUAAGUCAGAUGUGAAAUCCCCGGGCUCAACCUGGGAACUGCAUCUGAUACUGGCAAGCUUGAGUCUCGUAGAGGGGGGUAGAAUUCCAGGUGUAGCGGUGAAAUGCGUAGAGAUCUGGAGGAAUACCGGUGGCGAAGGCGGCCCCCUGGACGAAGACUGACGCUCAGGUGCGAAAGCGUGGGGAGCAAACAGGAUUAGAUACCCUGGUAGUCCACGCCGUAAACGAUGUCGACUUGGAGGUUGUGCCCUUGAGGCGUGGCUUCCGGAGCUAACGCGUUAAGUCGACCGCCUGGGGAGUACGGCCGCAAGGUUAAAACUCAAAUGAAUUGACGGGGGCCCGCACAAGCGGUGGAGCAUGUGGUUUAAUUCGAUGCAACGCGAAGAACCUUACCUGGUCUUGACAUCCACGGAAGUUUUCAGAGAUGAGAAUGUGCCUUCGGGAACCGUGAGACAGGUGCUGCAUGGCUGUCGUCAGCUCGUGUUGUGAAAUGUUGGGUUAAGUCCCGCAACGAGCGCAACCCUUAUCCUUUGUUGCCAGCGGUCCGGCCGGGAACUCAAAGGAGACUGCCAGUGAUAAACUGGAGGAAGGUGGGGAUGACGUCAAGUCAUCAUGGCCCUUACGACCAGGGCUACACACGUGCUACAAUGGCGCAUACAAAGAGAAGCGACCUCGCGAGAGCAAGCGGACCUCAUAAAGUGCGUCGUAGUCCGGAUUGGAGUCUGCAACUCGACUCCAUGAAGUCGGAAUCGCUAGUAAUCGUGGAUCAGAAUGCCACGGUGAAUACGUUCCCGGGCCUUGUACACACCGCCCGUCACACCAUGGGAGUGGGUUGCAAAAGAAGUAGGUAGCUUAACCUUCGGGAGGGCGCUUACCACUUUGUGAUUCAUGACUGGGGUGAAGUCGUAACAAGGUAACCGUAGGGGAACCUGCGGUUGGAUCACCUCCUUACCUUAAAGAAGC